ACCCCUCAACCCACCGCUCUUAAUCGAGUGUGCAUGGGAUUGGACCGUGGCCGCACUGGCCGGCGCACUUGAGCGUCUGGCCCGGCCGAAAUGUAUGCGAAGCGCUUUUAACUGUGCGCCGCGACGACCUAGCGUUGUAGACACCUCGCUAGCGUCCGAGUCGGUAUGACAGUAGCUUCAGUUCUAUCAUUA
rnacentral:misc_RNA from 1 species